UUUUCUUUGAAACAAACUUGCUUUGGCGGUGGGCCCAGCCUGCCGCCAGAGGUCUAAACUUACAACCAAUUUUUUAUCAACUUGUCACACCAGAUUAUUACUAAUAGUCAAAACUUUCAACAACGGAUCUCUUGGUUCUCGCAUCGAUGAAGAACGCAGCGAAAUGCGAUACGUAAUAUGAAUUGCAGAUAUUCGUGAAUCAUCGAAUCUUUGAACGCACAUUGCGCCCUCUGGUAUUCCGGAGGGCAUGCCUGUUUGAGCGUCGUUUCUCCCUCAAACCGCUGGGUUUGGUGUUGAGCAAUACGACUUGGGUUUGCUUGAAAGACGGUAGUGGUAAGGCGGGAUCGCUUUGACAAUGGCUUAGGUCUAACCAAAAACAUUGCUUGCGGCGGUAACGUCCACCACGUAUAUCUUCAAACUUUGACCUCAAAUCAGGUAGGACUACCCGCUGAACUUAAGCAU
rnacentral:rRNA from 1 species